UUUAAACUUUAGGGGUGUCCUUAUUUUAAAAUAAGGUCUGAGAAAUACCCUUUGAACCUGAUGCGGCUUAUACCGACGAAGGGAAAAGUUGAAGUAUUCCU
rnacentral:ncRNA from 2 species